rnacentral:rRNA from 1 species
AGUCGAGCGAGGUCCAUCCAGUGGUAACACUGGUGAAGACCUAGCGGCGAACGGGUGAGUAACACGUGAGAAACCUGCCCCGAAGACUGGGAUAACUCUCCGAAAGGAGAGCUAAUACCAGAUGCCCUCACCGGGCCGCAUGACUUGGUGAGGAAAUGGAUUCCGCUUCGGGAGGGUCUCGCGGCCUAUCAGCUUGUUGGUGAGGUAACGGCUCACCAAGGCUUCGACGGGUAGCUGGUCUGAGAGGAUGAUCAGCCACACUGGGACUGAGACACGGCCCAGACUCCUACGGGAGGCAGCAGUGGGGAAUCUUGCGCAAUGGGCGAAAGCCUGACGCAGCAACGCCGCGUGGGGGAUGAAGGCUCUCGGGUUGUAAACCCCUUUCAGCAGGGAAGAUUAUGACGGUACCUGCAGAAGAAGCCCCGGCCAACUACGUGCCAGCAGCCGCGGUAAUACGUAGGGGGCAAGCGUUGUCCGGAUUUAUUGGGCGUAAAGAGCUUGUAGGCGGCUUGGUAAGUCGAGUGUGAAAACUCCAGGCUCAACCUGGAGACGCCAUUCGAUACUGCCAUGGCUAGAGUCCGGUAGAGGAGCACGGAAUUCCUGGUGUAGCGGUGAAAUGCGCAGAUAUCAGGAGGAACACCAGCAGCGAAGGCGGUGCUCUGGGCCGGUACUGACGCUGAGAAGCGAAAGCGUGGGGAGCGAACAGGAUUAGAUACCCUGGUAGUCCACGCCGU